UUAAACAACUCCCCAAAAGCCAACAGGAUGGCCCUCACGGCCCAGGGUGCCCUGCACUGCAGUGCGGUGCCUCUGUGAACAGAGCAGGGGCAGAGUUCCAGCUGGCAGUCAUUUGUCAGUUUUUCCUAAAAGCUUCUCAGAGCUUUCAGGAGGCAGUUUUUAUCUCCAAGAUCCUGAAGAGACAGGAGGUAACAAAAAUGGAUGCGGUAAUUCUGCCAAGUCCUACUGAUAUCAUCAGAAAGAAGGCAGAACUCUGCUAGGUACCACGACAGACAAGAAGAUGUCAGAACCAGAGAAUUCAUCUAUGAUAGACCCGAACCAUUAGACUCGUGGAGGAGGAAAAUACCUAAAUAACAAGGUUCAAGACCAGUCAAGAUCUUCUUGAAGAAGAAACAUAGAGUUGGAGGACUUGUUCUACCAGGUAUGGAGUCUUACUAUUAACCUGCUAUAAUUAAGACUGUCAUUUUCAUUCAAGGAUAGAUAAAUAGAGGUAGACGUUACCAGUGUUUUCCAAUAUCUGAGUAAUCUCCCCUUCCAGAGGCAUGGCAGAUGGCACGUCACAUCCCUUUGCAGGUGGGUGGAGCACUCUGGUACUGGCAAAUGAACUAAAGAGGAAGGGAAUGUUGGGUGAUAUUUUCAUGGUGAGUCAAUAAAAACCUGAUGGACCAUUUCCCAAUCUCUUCUCCAGAUGGAGAGCAUCCCAUGGUGCAGACACCUCACCUUGGGAAGGACAGUUGCCCUGAUACAUCUCCUGCAUCCCCAGUGACCUUAGUACGAAAAAGGAAUAACUCUGGUUCAUCAUCCUUGAAAUGUCGAAGCCUAUCCAUUUCUGUCCAACCUGCAGAUCGGCCAGUGAAACACCAGAUUAACCAGAAAGAUCCACCAAUGUGUGGACAAUUGAGUUUUCAACAAAGAAUGAAACUUCAGUGUAGGUGGGAAAAGACCAUUUGGUUACUACGGGAUAUCCAUUUGAGGGUGAAGUAGGACUUAUACCUACUGCGUGUCAUACAGAAAUCAAUUCUAGGUGAAUUAUUAACCACCUAGAUCAAAACUGUACAAAGAUUUUAGAAGAAAACACAGGGAAUUCUUUAUGACUCAGAAAAAAAUUCUAGAUAAGAAACAAAAAUCAUUACCCACAAAGGUAAAGAUAGUUGAAUUUCAUAUUAUUAAGUUUUACAAGGAAAAAAUUUUGUUUAAAAAGGAAACAGCAAAGGGAACACCUACAUUUUAAUAGUAGUUAUCUCUGGAUUGCACGAUUCCAGACUGAGUUUAUUUUCUUAAUUUUAUUUAUCCCUGUUUUGCAAAUGUUCUGUGAUGAAUAUAAAUCUUUUAAAAUUUUUUUUCAUUUAUUUAUAUGCAGUGCUGAGAAUUGAACCCAGUGACUCACCCAAGUGAGGCAAGCACUCUACCACUGAGCACG